UACAGAGGGGGCAAGCGUUGUUCGGAAUCACUGGGCUUAAAGGGCGCGUAGGCGGUCGAUCAAGUCAGGGGUGAAAUCCUGCAGCUUAACUGUAGAAGUGCCUUUGAUACUGGUCGUCUCGAGGGAGGUAGGGGUGUGUGGAACUUCCAGUGGAGCGGUGAAAUGCGUUGAUAUUGGAAGGAACGCCGGAGGCGAAAGCGACGCACUGGACCUCUUCUGACGCUGAGGCGCGAAAGCUAGGGGAGCAAACGGG
rnacentral:rRNA from 1 species